rnacentral:pre_miRNA from 1 species
AGCUUUCUCAAUCGGUGAUGAGAAUUCGUCAGACACAAACCCAUUAGGACUGAUCAGACUUCCAAGAUAAGUGAGGUU